AUCGCCCUGCUGCCUAUGGACGUGGCAGACGCUCCGGAUGCCAUCUCCUGGCGCCUAGAUCCCUCCGGCCGCUUCUCCACCAAAUCCCUCUACGCGGCCAUUGCCCCCUCGUCGGCUCCGGAGCCCUUCGGCCUUAUCUGGGACAUUCGCCUCCCACUUAAGAUUCGGAUCUUUCUGUGGUAGUGGAUCCGCGGCCGCCUCCCGACCGGCGUGGAGGUCCUCAAGCGCCAUGGUCCUGGUGAUGGAAUGUGCCCCUUGUGUGCCACGGUUGAGGAUGCUAAUCACAUCUUCUUCUCGUGCUGCACGGCACAGUUUGGUCUUGUUUCCGCGAAACGGUUGGCGGACAGUGGUGCAAUACCAACUUCCCUGACUUGCUUGCCGAAAUUCAGGCCUCCCCCCCUCGCUACAGACAUAUUAGAUGGCUGUGCGUCGGGGUGCUGGCCUGGACCUUGUGGACGGUUCGCAAUAGGCUUGUCAUUCAGAAGGUGCCCCUUCGACGUGCGACUGACUCCAUUUUUAAAAUGUGUGGUUACUUGCAGCUCUGGCGGCCGCUUAGCCGCCCCCCGGACCGGGACGCCAUCGACAGACUCCUCACCGACCUCCAUUCGUUGGCCUUCCGCCUGGCACCUCCGCUCCCGCCGCCACCCCCGGAGCCCGACUAGUGGAUGA
rnacentral:rRNA from 1 species